UUCAACUUCACUUCAGUAAUUUCCUCGCUAUUCUUCUCGUCCUUUGCUGCUCAAGCUCGAUGCCUUCCCCCAAACUAGAUCUGCGACCCAAACCAGAUCUACUGCACUAAGCUCGCCAUCGGUCGUCUUCCUUUAGCUCGAUGUUGCUGCUGCUCGUCGAAGACUUGCCAUCGUGUCGCUACCGUGUUCUGCUGAAGCUUGUCUCUGAUGCCAUUUCUGGUGAAGCUCUUCUUCCCUAGCUCGUAGAACACCUGUCAUGUAGCUCUUCUUCCAAAUUCGGUCAUCUAUUCACCAUUUCUUCAGGUUAGAAGGGAAAAGAUUAGAGAGAGAAUGAAAUACUUGCAAGGUUUAGUACCAGAUUGUAACAAAAUCACAGGAAAAGCAGGCAUGCUCAAUGAAAUCAUCAAUUAUGUUCAAUCUCUUCAAUGACAAGUAGAGGAAUUUCACCAAAAGACAAUUGACAUGGUUUCAAAAUGAACAUAUAUACCACUAGCUUAAUGCUUCUAAACCACUGCUUAUUGCAGGACACUAUUGUAGACUUUAUCUAUGAAUCUUACCAUGAUAAGAGUGGAACUCUCAUUGUUCCUGAACAGUUGAGAAUGUCUAGAGAUGUUUCUAAUGGUCGAGAAGCUAAUGACCUCAAGGUCCACUGCUCCAAAAAUAGCAAAUUCUUCCAUUUUCAUUAUGUAAAGCUGAUUUGCUGAACCUGUACAAUGUGGCUUUUGAUCAAGCCAGAACAACCCUGACGUCCUUUCCUUCUCAACCAUUAACAAGUAGCUACAAAAUUCAUAGACAUGAGACUAAGAGCGGAGAGCCCUCCACUGAUAUUGAUGAGUGCAUAUGAAUUGCGUAAUUGAAGCUAGCAAUCUAAAGAUGGAGAUGUGAAAAAGCUGAUGUUAUGCUCCAGCUUGUUGGAUGAGAUAAGUGAAUCUGAAUUUAGUCCUAGCCUUCACAAAAAGGAUGUUUUUUGCAUCUUUGAGAAAAAAAUACAGGCUCAAAGUAAUAUGCCUAAUGUUAUACAUUUUUUUUGAAAAAAUUUAUCUCAAUGGGACAUGAACAGAGAGGUAUGGACUUUGAAUGAUGUGUUUUAUUCAUAAUUAAUAUGAUAUUUAUGGUUUAACUAAUUUAUUUUUCUUUAUAUUUUGCAGAUAGAAUGUGAACGAGUACUUUGCAAUUAAGUAAGAAUAGUGUUAGAUGUAUUUAUUUGUACCAUGUAAGCAUGAGAGUAUUGCAAAUGUUUUUAAUUUCAUAGGUUGUAAUCUACAUUAUAAUAUUGUGUAUAUUAUAGUAUUGGAAAUUAGUUAGUUGAACUUUUGUAUAUA